UUUGGCAGGCCUUGCGCGGUGCACUGUUUUUACCUCGUGGAAAAGUACGCAUGCUAUUGAAUUUCUGCGUGUUGGGAUAAAACGGUCGCUUUGUUUAAGUUGUGUAACUUUUUCAAGCUGCUAAAAUAUAUAUAUUUUAAGGAAUAGGUUUUUUUUCCCUUAGGAAAGUGCGCAGUUGUCAGGGGUCGGCUCACAGCGAACAAAGGAACUGCACUCCGCUGUCGCGUUUUCAUUCAUAAGGAAUUCAUCUCUUUUCGGGGGGAGGAGGCGGGAAAAUGGCGGAAGGUUACAUUCGAGUGGCGGAGGAGGAAAAUGAGGAGCCCAUGGAGAUCCCGGCCGAGGACGACGGCACGGUGCUGCUGUCCACCGUGGCGGCUCAGUUCCCCGGAGCCUGCGGGCUGCGGUUCCGCAGCCCCGUGUCCCAGUGCAUGAGGGGGGUCCGGCUGGUGGAGGGAGUGCUGCACGCCCCGGAGACCGGCUGGGGGAACAUCGCGUAUGUGGUCAACUACCCCAAAGACAAUAAAAGAAAAAUGGAUGAAAUCGAUGCCUCUUCUGCUGUGAAGAUGAAGAGGGGGGAUAUGAAGACAUCUGACCUGAUCGUACUAGGUCUUCCUUGGAAAACAUCUGAACAAGACCUGAAAGACUACUUUAGCACAUUCGGAGAGGUCAUCAUGGUUCAGGUCAAGCGAGAUGCCAAGACCGGAAACUCUAAAGGAUUUGGCUUUGUGAGAUUUACAGAAUACGAAGCUCAAGAAAAGGUGAUAUCCCAGCGCCAUAUGAUUGAUGGAAGAUGGUGUGACUGCAAGCUUCCUAAUUCGAAGGUAGAUAUGCAAGGUCCAGAUGAACCGUUAAGGAGUCGGAAAGUGUUUGUUGGCCGUUGUACAGAGGACAUGACCACAGAUGACCUCCGACAGUUCUUUAUGCAGUAUGGAGAAGUCACAGAUGUGUUCAUUCCCAAACCAUUCCGUGCAUUUGCCUUUGUCACAUUUGCAGAUGAUCAGGUCGCCCAGUCUCUCUGUGGAGAGGAUCUUAUUAUCAAAGGAGUCAGUGUUCACAUCUCCAAUGCUGAGCCCAAACAUGGAAAUAGGCAGUUCGAUCGUACAACACGGUUUGGAAAUGGUUUUGGAGCCCAAGCAUUUGGUGGCAGUCGUGGUGGGUUGGGGAGCAGCACUAACAGUAGUCUGGCUAAUUUCGGUUCCUUCAGCCUGAACCCUGCCAUGAUGGCUGCUGCUCAGGCUGCUCUGCAGAGUAGUUGGGGGAUGAUGGGCAUGCUGGCUAGCCAGCAGCAGACAUCCACCUCAGGCAGCACCUCUAGUGGAACCAGUUCUAGUAGGGACGGAAGUCAGUCUUUCAGUGCAGGCAACAGCAACUACGGCACCAGUUCAGCCAGUCUUGGCUGGGGUACAGGGUCAAACUCCACAACCAGCGGUAGUGGGUUUAGCUCAGGUUUUGGGUCCAGCAUGGAGUCAAAGUCAUCUGGGUGGGGUAUGUAAGUUUAGUGUUUGUAUGGUAAGUAUUGUGAGAAAGAUGAGUCCUUUUCCAAAUUUAUUUCUGGUGUUAAUGCGUAUCUGAAAACUUAACACUUUUGUGGAAGAUGUUUUGUACACUUGGAAAAAAAAAAAGCUAAAGAUUUAAUUUAGAAAAUGUUGAAGUGAAUUGUUUACCAGAAUCUCUGACUAAAGUGCUAUUUUUGAUGUCUUGUUUGUAUCCAUUUCAACUGGAUUCUCUAAUGCAUGUAUUGUGAAAUGUGAUGCUCAUUUUUGAAAAUGCAUGAAUGUUUGUGGUUCACCAUCACCCAACUUUGUCAUAGACUUAUAAGCAAUCUUGCAUUGGAAAGAAUCUGGUUGAAACCUAAAUGUUUUAAGUGCAACUUUAUUUGCAGUCUAGUUCUGUGGAAAAGCCUUCAUUGAAAUCUCUUCUGCAGUUCACCUCUCUUCCAUUUCCCUGCGAGGAAGCUCCUAAUUGGCAGCAUUCUUGGGGUGAUAUCGGUAUCAUUCUCCCUCUUCCCACCUGUAAAUGCUAUGCCAUCAAACAACGGCUUCACUCCGCAUGUUCUAAGAGACGGGACCUUGGGCUCUGCUGGUCGAGGUCUCCGUUUGAACCCUGACUGAAGUCUGUUCUGAUGGACGAAGAUGGAAGUUCCUACACUUUCAGUGUGUGGCCCUCUCAGACAUGACACUGGGUAGUACCUGUCUUUUUGCUGCGUUGAUAGCAUGCUAGUGAAUUCUUUAUUACCAUCAACUUCUAAAGGUCAGUGGCAAGUUCCUGAGUCAAUUGGCUCAGAAGAGAUAUUACCCAGUAAUGAGAACCUGGUUGUCUGGCCUCAAUUUAUAUGCUAUAGAAAAAAAGUGUCACUAAGCUGGAAUUUAAUUUCACGGUAAGUUUGCCUUUAAUAGCUCCCUCCCCAAAGUUUCCUUCAGUUAUAAAUGGCACCCACAAAACGGGGUUUUGGAGGAAAUACUUAGACAACUGUUCAGCUCAAAUCAAUAUACAACAUUAACCAUGUUAGUCAUUGUAAUGUCACUUUGACAAUGCUUGAUUUUAGAAGAGAAAAAAUAUACUUAUGUUCUUCAGCUGAGUUUGUCAAAAUGUCAGAUACAAAGUAUCAGAUUCAAAAGUUUGACAUCUUUCUUAGUGCAGAUGAUGUACCGUAUUAUGUCAUGCUAUUAAGAUUUUUGAAAUGCGUAAUAUAAACUUGUGAUGCAAAGUACUUUUCAUUUUCAUUUAUUUAAUGACAACUCGUGUGCUGGUCAGUCUUCAUGUUCGUUUACAUGUUGGGGACAAAUGAGACACCACAGGCUCCCCAGUGUCUUGUCAUUCUCUGCUCUCCUCAGUGUUUUUGCUCUUCCUCUUCCCACCACUCUUCUUUUUCAUAUCCCUCUGUUCCUGGGCCAGUUCUUCACUUUUAUUCUGUAUGUAGAUUGACUGAAAUAAAAGCAAAUUAAACAUUAAA